rnacentral:misc_RNA from 1 species
GCAAACUUGGUCAUUUAGAGGAAGUACAAGUCGUAACAAGGUUUCCGUAGGUGAACCUGCGGAAGGAUCAUUAACAAAUCAUUGGGGUUUGGUGGUACGCAGUGUAUGCGCUUAUGGUGUACUACACGGUGUACUUGCUACCACAUAUACCCGCUCCUGAGCAGUCAAAUGCCAGGUCGGUGUGCCUUUAGUGUGUGGGGUGCAUGGAGAGUGUUCUGUGUAGAGAGGUAGUAAUGGGCAGUGAUGCAUAUUACUACUACUACUACUACUGGAUAAUCAUACACUGCCCCCCCACUGGGCCACAUAGACGCUUUUCUUGUUUGACAGAGUUUUUGUAUGACACAAAAUUGACAACAACUUUUAACAAUGGAUCUCUUGGCUCUUGCAUCGAUGAAGAACGCAGC